rnacentral:rRNA from 1 species
AACGAACGCUGGCGGCAGGCUUAACACAUGCAAGUCGAGCGCCCCGCAAGGGGAGCGGCAGACGGGUGAGUAACGCGUGGGAACGUACCUUUUGGUUCGGAACAACUCCGGGAAACUGGAGCUAAUACCGGAUAAGCCCUAACGGGGAAAGAUUUAUCGCCGAAAGAUCGGCCCGCGUCUGAUUAGCUAGUUGGUGAGGUAACGGCUCACCAAGGCGACUAUCAGUAGCUGGUCUGAGAGGAUGAUCAGCCACACUGGGACUGAGACACGGCCCAGACUCCUACGGGAGGCAGCAGUGGGGAAUAUUGGACAAUGGGCGCAAGCCUGAUCCAGCCAUGCCGCGUGAGUGAUGAAGGCCUUAGGGUUGUAAAGCUCUUUUGUCCGGGAAGAUAAUGACUGUACCGGAAGAAUAAGCCCCGGCUAACUUCGUG